rnacentral:lncRNA from 10 species
CCAGCCUGGGCGACAGAGCAAGACACUCUCUCUCAAAAAAAAAAAAAAAAAAAAAUUUCUGGUUUAUUUUCUCUGAAUCGUGAGGUUGUAUUAGAGAUCAGGACCCUUCACCCUUAACUACUUUAGCAUGGGAUAUACACAUGUAUUUUUGAAAAAUAUGAAUUCAUACUGUUUUCCAUUCAAAUGUUAAGAUUAUAAGGGUUUUUAAAUAUUCUUUGAUUUUACCUCUUAAGCUGAAAAUCUUGGUUCAUUACAACAUUAACAUUAUUUGCUUUAUUCUACAUAUAAAUGCAUAUAAUCAUUUCAAAAUAAGCCUGGGCAACAUAGUAAGACCCCACCUCUACCAAAAAAGGUAUUGUUAACAAUGACUACUGGUCAAAGUUUUUUUCUGCUAGCUUUUUUAGACCUUUCCCUUUGAAGAUACAAAGUUAAAAUAUGAUGUAAUUGGAUUAACUACUCUGCGCUUCUGUCACCAACUUGAUACACAAGUCCAUUUGUUUAAAUUCUAGAAAUUGUUAUAAUUUGUUUUGCGAAUACAAAUCAUUUGACUGGCUUUCUUGUCAGAACUGUAAAACCAGGCACAUUUGCUCCACACAGGCCUCUAGCACAGCUACCGAGUGCUCCGGUAAGCUCGCCGUGGGUUAGCUCGCCGUGGAUUAGCUCACCGUGGGUUAGCUCGCCGUGGAUUAGCUCGCCGUGGGUUAGCUCGCCGUGGGUUAGCUCGCCGUGGGUAAGCUCGCCGUGGGUUAGCUCGCCGUGGGUUAGCUCGCCGUGGGUUAGCUCGCCGUGGGUAAGCUCGCCGUGGGUUAGCUCGCCGUGGGUUAGCUCGCCGUGGGUUAGCUCGCCGUGGGUAAGCUGGCCGUGGGUUAGCUCGCCGUGGGUUAGCUGGCCGUGGGUUAGCUGGCCGUGGGUAAGCUGGCCGUGGGUUAGCUGGCCGUGGGUUAGCUGGCCGUGGGUUAGCUCGCCGUGGGUUAGCUGGCCGUGGGUUAGCUCGCCGUGGGUUAGCUCGCCGUGGGUUAGCUGGCGGUGGGUUAGCUCGCCGUGGGUUAGCUCGCCGUGGGUUAGCUCGCCGUGGAUUAGCUCACCGUGAGUUAGCCAGCAGAUCCCCUCAUGCUGGGCCUUGGGUUGUUUCCAGUCUUUGGCCAAUCAAAUGUCAGAGUUGGACCCAGCACCUCCGUUGGGACUGCAGAGUGCUUGUCUUCUAAGUCUGGUUAGAAGGGCAUUUCCACAUCCUUGUGGAUUCUGGCCAUCGUAUCUUAAGGAUACAUUUCUGGAAGUGGGAUUGCCAGUCGGCGGGGAGAGGCUCAUCUGGCUUGUCUGGGUGUUGUCCCUGUCCCCAAGGGGCCAGGCGUUCUGCAUCCCCACAGCAUUGUAGGAAGUCCCUGCCCCCCUCAGCAGCCGAAUCUGGUGUCAAAUUUGGAUUUGGGUCAAUCUUGUAGGUGAGAAAUGGAGUCUUGGGGUGGUUUUGGUUUGCAUUUCUCUCUCUCUUUUUUUUUUUUAAUCAUUUUCUUGAUUUUCCAAACUCAUGAGCUCGUUUGAAUAAGGAAUAUUAAUCCUAAUAUUUCUCAUUUUAAGUUAUAAUUUUUAUUGAGGUAAAAUAUACAUAAAACAACAUUUUUAUCAGAGUCCUAUAGAUGGUUAAAAAAAUUCACCAUUUUAACCAUCUCUUAAAGUCUACAAUUUAGCAGCAUUUAAUACAUUCAUAACGUACAACCAUCACUUCUGUGUGCUUCCAAAGCCUUCAUCACGCCAGAAGGAGACCCCGCGCCCGUUCAACACCAUCCCCCCACCCUCAGUCCCCGACAGUCACUGCCCUGCUUCCCACUCAAGUCACCGACACUUUGAAAAUGUGCUAUGUUAUAAAACUUUUUUCCCAGUAUACAUUUUGUCUUUUAUCACUCCUGGGUUUUAAGUCAUAUUUAAGAAGAUUUUGCCCACUCCCCGGUGAUGAAGGAAUUCACUUUUUCCUAGUACUUUUGACCCAUUUGGAAUUUGUCUUAGUGUAUGGUAUGAAGUGCAGAUUCAUUUUCGUCUUUCUCCAAGUGGUUAACGUUUAACCACUUGUAUUAACAAGUCCAUCCUUUCCUCACCGGUAUCAUAUGCUACCUUAUAGACUGAAUGUUCUAGGCACUGGGGUCUGUCCCCGGGUUUUCAUGUCCCUGGGCCUGCUUGCCUACAUGGGUCCUGGUGUCAUGUGGUUCCAUUACGGAGGCCAGGAGAUGGUUCGGGGGCAGAGGACCUCUCCAUUUCUUUUGCAGAGUUUUCCUGGCUAUUUUUACACUCCUGUGCACUUCCUCUCUCACAUGAACUUUAUAAUUAGUUUUCUAGAUCUGGGGAAAAGCAUGCGGCGUUUUUAUAAGGAUUACAUUACAUUUAUAAAUUUACUUUUGUAGAAUUGUCUUGCUUAGGAGAGUUUUCUUAUCCAGGAACAUGGUCUUUCUUUCUGUCUUAAUUCAUUUUCUGUUGCUAUGACUGAAUACCACAGAGUGGGUAAGUUAUAAAGAAAAGAAUUUUAUUUCUUACAGUUCUGGAGGCAGGGAGUCCAAGGUAUAGGAGUUGCAUCUGGUGAGGACCUUCUUGCUGGUCAAGACUCUGCAGUCUCAAGUGGUGCCGGGCAUUAUGUGAGGGUCUCAUGAGAGACGGCAAAGCUGGCUUUUAUAACCAGCCCCCUGGUGAUAACUGCUCCACUCCCUGAGAACCCAUUAGUCCAUGAAUGGAUUAGUCCUCAUGAGCCAAUCACCUCCCCAGAAUCCCAUCCCAGCACUGCUGCAUUGGAGUCCAGGUUUCCAACACAUGAACUUUUGGGGAAUUCAUUCAAACCAUGGUGGUGUUAAAAUCGACUUUGGUGUCUUUAUGGUCUAUUUAAAGUUUUUCCCAUUUAGGGUUUCACAUUUCUUUUACGCAUGGGGAUUUUUAUCUUUUUGUUGCUGUUAAAAAUGGGUCAUCUCUUCCACUCUGUCUUUGAACUGAAAGUAUGCACAAAGAUCUCUGUGUGCUACUUUAAAUCCUGCUGUUUCUCUGAAUUCUCUUAGUGUUUGUAACAUCACUUUCUUGUGCUGGAAAUAUAACAAAGUAUUUGAUCCAAGAAGCAUCUGGCAGGAAGCCUGGGCAGGAGGGGCACCUUGAGCAUGGGCUUCCUCCUCCCCUUUCCUCUGUCUCUUCUCCUACCGGCUGCUUUCCUUCUCUCCCAUCUGCUGUCCACCAGGCAGGCGUUGCCAGACCACCCCAGAGGUCCCCUCUUCAUGUUUCUUGAGGCUGCGUGGGGGGAGGGCAUGAUAGAGGGAGGCAGGGCUUCGAAGGAGGCACUCGGGGGAGGGGGGGGCGAGGAGAGGAUGGGGCAUGCGAGGGGGCCUUGUCCUCCAGCUUUGUCAGAAGCCUAAUGUGCCCUGUGGCCUGAGCUGGCAUCAGACAGGCUUUAAGAGGAGAAUGUCAGCUGGGUGCGGUGGCUCACACCUGUAAUUCUAGCACUUUGGGAGGCCGAGGUGGGUGGAUCCCUUGAGGUCAGGAGUUCGAGACCAGCCUGGCCAACAUGGCAAAACCCCAUCUCUAUGAAAAAUAGAAAAAUUAGCCAGGCGUGGUGGCAGGCGCCUGUAAUUCCAGCUACUCAGGAGGCUGAGGCACAAGAAUCACUUGAACCCGGGAGGCAGAGGUUGCAAUGAGCCAAGACUGCGCCACUGCACUCCAGCCUGGGCGACAGAGUGAGGUCCUAAAAAGGGAAGAAUAUCGCUGCAUCAGAAAGCAGGAAGGUGGGGCCUGCCCGGGGCCAUGGCCCUGCAAUGAGUUUGGCCCAGAGGCACAGACAGACAGGAGACCAAAGUGAAAUGAAUGAAAAUGGACUGGACCCGAUCGGAGGACUGAGGAGAGCCAGGCCUCAGGGCACCUGGCAUUUGUUCCCUGGAUGGAUCAGGGGAACUGAGGAGAGCCGGGCCGCAGGGCACCCUGGCGUUUGUUCUCUGGGCGGAUCAGGGGAACCGAGGAGAGCCGGGCCGCAGGGCACCCUGGCGUUUGUUCCCUGGAUGGAUCAGGGGAACCGAGGAGAGCCGGGCCGCAGGGCACCCUGGCGUUUGUUCCCAGGGUAGGGGAGCUCUAGCAUGGCACACAGUAGCAGAAGAUAGCAGGUUGUGGUCGGCCCAUGUAGAGAUUUUAGAAACAUCUCACACUUCAUGAGAUCUUAGAAACAUCUCACACUUCAGGUUCAGUCACCCGUGUCCAGUGUCCACAGGAAGGCCUGUGCAAGGCCUCAUGGGAAACAGGGUGGUCCACCAGGCCUGCCCUCAAGGGGGCCCCGUCCCGGAGAAGCAGAUGCACAAAGCUGAGGGACACAGGUCGUGGGCCUUCUUGUGUGGCUCCUUGGCCACGGCACCGCAGCACCUGAGAGCCACCGCUGGAGAGGCAAACGAGCCCUGCAGCAGGCCCGAACCAGAGUUCCUGGGCACGGCCGCGUGCACCCAGUCGGGAGCUUCCCUGCUAAGGGUCAGCGAAGGCUUGGGGUGCUGGCAUUAGGGCUGGGUCCUGAGGGAAGAUGAGGGAGAGAAGUAUAGGAGGAGGAGGGAGUUGAAGGCUGCAGACAGGAGGAGGAAGGGGAGGGAGUAGGGCUGCCAGGGGAGGGGUGGAGGGCUGGAUAAGGAGGAGGGCUACAAAGAAAAGAGUAGAGCUGCAGGGAAGGAGGGUGGAGGGCUGCAGCGGGAGGAGGAGAGGGAGGAAGGCUGCAAGGGGAGGAGGAGUAUUGCAGGGGAGGGGGAGGAGAGCUGGCAGGGGAGGAGGAGGAGGGCUACAAAGAAAAGAGAACUGCAGUGGGAGAAGGAGAGUGGUGGAGAGUUGCAGGGGAAGGGGAGAGGGAGGAGGACUGGAGGAGGAGGAGGGAUGUAGGAGGAGGGUAGUGGAGGGCUGCAGAGGAGGAGGAAGAGGAGAAUAGGGAGGACAAAUCCACUCUAGCAGGGGAACGAAAGCAGCAUGGGGCAGACAAAUCCACUCUAGCAUUCCAAUCUCCCUAAGCCUUUGAAUCCCUUCUUCUACACUAACCAUGGGCGGCCAGGCAUGUCCAGUUAUCCCAUGGUGGGCCAUGUUUUGGCCCAUGUUUCAGCCAAGCAGCCAACCAACCAAUUAGAGCCCUUUCUAAAUGCGGAAUCUCUGCUUAGUGAGCCCGUAUCAAUAAACUUGGCCUGAUCUAACUCUGUGUUCCUCCUACCAUUCUCCCAGGCCCUCAAUAUGCAUUCCCACGGUCCUGGGAUUUCUAUGUAAACUGGAAAACUCACGUUCUCUUUGCAGACACCGUGAGGCUGGGAGUUCCACAUGUGCUAUAAUCCAGCCACUGGAAGGGCGAGAUUCUGGGUUUGAUUUUCAGUAGUCUCAGACCCGCAGCUAAAGGAGGUAAGAGUCUCUCUUGGGACAGUCAUAACUUUCAGAUUAUUCAUGUGACACUUCAGCUGGGAAUCUGAAUCCUGAGCUCACUCCCAUGAUACUUUUUCUGAGAUGGAGUCUCACUCUGUAGCCCAGGCUGGAAUGCAGUGGGGCAAUCCCAGCUCACUGCAACCUCUGCCUCCCAGGUGCAAGUAAUUCUCCUGCCUCAGCCUCCCGAGUAGCUGGGAUUACAGGUGCCUGCCACCACACUUGGCUAAUUUCUGUAUUUUUAGAAGAGUUGGGGUUUUGCCAUGUUGGCCAAGGUGGUCUUGAACUCCUGACCUCAGGUGAUCUGCCCGCCUCAGGCCUCCCAAAGUGCUGGGAUUAUAGGCGUGAGCCACCACACACGGCUUUUUUUUUUUGAGACAGGGUCUCACUGUGUUACCCAGGCCGGAGUACAGUGGUACAAUCACAGCUAACUGCAGCGUCAACCUCUCAGAUUCAACCAAUCCUCCCACCUCAGCCUCCAGAGUAGCUGGAACCACAGGUGCAGGCCACCGUGCUUGACUAAUUUUAUUUUUUAGAGAUGGGAUCUUGUUAUGUUGCCUAGGCUGGUCUUGAACUCCUGGCCUCAAGCCAUCCUCCUGCCUCCCAAAGUGCUGGGAUGACAGGUGUGAGCUACUGGUCCUGGCCCAUUAUACUCUAGUUUGAUGAAAGUGUUCAAAAGCCACCGAGAACCCUGCCUUCUGCAAGUAUUUAAUUAGGAGCACCCAGUGGUGAUACUAUGCAUACCUCUAUUGCCACAUCACACUAUGGACUAUCGGUGUUCUUUUUACUACUGGAAAUCAGCAUUAGUGCCUUUACAUCUAAUCAGGAUAAAGACCCAAUUCCAGGAACCCUCCCAUCCCCACCCUCUCGCCACUCCCCACCCUCAAUUAUUUUCAAGCAAACCCUCCGCACCUCUUACCAUGUUGUGUAUAGGUAGAAGCUAUUUAACACACACACAGUGACAUUCUGUCUAAAAUGACAACGAUCGUUUGGAGAAGUUUAUUACCACCCCUACCCUCCAGUGGGAUCUCAAUGUCACGAUGA